UUAACUACACUCCAGUUAUCUCACCUGGAAGUGGAAGAUCCCCGCAUAGUUUUCGGUGAAACUCUGAUCAUGGGGUAUAACUCGGAAAAGCAGGCGCUCGUUCAGGGUCAGGCAGGCAAUGGCUGCAAGAAACCAGCAGUCACCUGCAGGCAAGUACAUGGCGUAGAUUACUUCCAGGGAAGAAAAGAUCCAGUCCCAGCUGACUCUUCUUGUCUGCACAACGAGUUCACUGAGCGGUCACUGUCCCACUUCCAGAUCUGACUUUACAGAGGUGUCAACCUGGAGCAAUUCGCUGGUAGUCCCUUGACAGUUCGAUCAGGCUACUUAAUCCCUUCUGACUGGUUUUCCUGAAGGCCAUAGGCAAUUCCUCUAUCUGUAAUAUAAGCUCACUUCCUUUUUGGUCCUCAAGAAAGAUGGAGCAGUCCGUCCAAAUUGGGUCCUUCUUCCUGACACCUCUAUGAAAUCUGCUCUGCUGGUACCUUGGCAAGAGUGUGGUGUACAAGUGUCCUGGAGACUCUAGGGAAGAUGCUGUGAAAUGACCCAUAUCUCUCGUGACAUGAGACAAAGAACUAAUGAGAGAUGUAGGAGAAACAGAAAUUAAAUGAAGCCAUCACCAGCACAAAGAUACAUGAGCAUGAAGUCAUGUUAUAAGAACCUCCUCCCAAAAAUUCAUUAAAAGCAAAAACAGA